rnacentral:rRNA from 1 species
UACGUAGGGUGCGAGCGUUACUCGGAAUUACUGGGCGUAAAGCGUGCGCAGGCGGCUUUGCAAGACAGAUGUGAAAUCCCCGGGCUCAACCUGGGAUCUGCAUUUGUGACUGCAAGGCUAGAGUACGGCAGAGGGGGAUGGAAUUCCGCGUGUAGCAGUGAAAUGCGUAGAUAUGCGGAGGAACACCAAUGGCGAAGGCAAUCCCCUGGGCCUGUACUGACGCUCAUGCACGAAAGCGUGGGGAGCAAACAGG